GAUGAACGCUGGCUACAGGCUUAACACAUGCAAGUCGUGGGGAAACGGCAUUAUGUGCUUGCACAUUCUGGACGUCGACCGGCGCACGGGUGAGUAUCGCGUAUCCAACCUGCCCCUUACUUGGGGAUACCCCGUUGAAAGACGGCCUAAUACCCGAUGUGUUUCAUUGACGGCAUCCGAUAUGAAACAAAGGUUUUUCCGGUAAGGGAUGGGGAUGCGUCUGAUUAGCUUGUUGGCGGGGCAACGGCCCACCAAGGCGACGAUCAGUAGGGGUUCUGAGAGGAAGGUCCCCCACAUUGGAACUGAGACACGGUCCAAACUCCUACGGGAGGCAGCAGUGAGGAAUAUUGGUCAAUGGGCGCAAGUCUGAACCAGCCAAGUAGCGUGCAGGAUGACGGCCCUAUGGGUUGUAAACUGCUUUUAUGUGGGAAUAAAGUGGCGCACGUGUGCGCCAUUGCAUGUACCUCAUGAAUAAGGACCGGCUAAUUCCGUGCCAGCAGCCGCGGUAAUACGGAAGGUCCGGGCGUUAUCCGGAUUUAUUGGGUUUAAAGGGAGUGUAGGCGGUCUGUUAAGCGUGUUGUGAAAUUUAGGUGCUCAACAUUUAACUUGCAGCGCGAACUGUCAGACUUGAGUACACGCAGCGCAGGCGGAAUUCAUGGUGUAGCGGUGAAAUGCUUAGAUAUCAUGAGGAACUCCGAUCGCGAAGGCAGCCUGCGGGAGUGUUACUGACGCUUAAGCUCGAAGGUGCGGGUAUCGAACAGG
rnacentral:rRNA from 1 species